CAACGGUGUUGUGUUCUUCGCCUGCUAUUGUUUUCUUUUUCUUUUCAUUUUCAGUAUAUUUUCAAGUUUUUUUUAUUUAUAUUGAAUUUUUAUUUUGUGUAUGUGGAAGAUAAAUGACAAGAAUGUUAUUGGUUGGUUCGGAUUCAAGCCUUUUUUCUUUGGCGUAGUGUGAGUUGGAGCAGCCGUCGGCAAAUGUGAAAAACCCCUUUUUUGCAUAGACCAUGUAAAACAACAAAGCAAUGCUCUUAUGGUAUUGACAGCAGACUGCUGCAUUUAUGAAAAUUGCAAGCAUAAUGUUGAAAGAAACAGGCUUCAAUGUGACCCUUCUCCUUAAACAGUCUGAUUUGCCAGAUUUUCCUGAGCUGAUGAGGGAGCCAAUAGAUUCGUUGCUCUUCUGCCCCAGUGGAUGGGUAUCUUUGAGUUUGUUCCAUGGCUGCUCUACACCAGUACCACAAAUGACAUAAAACAAAUUUUUCAAAGUGUAGAUGCCUGCUGAGAGGAAUAAAACAGUUUGCCAUUGAACAAUGGAGCCCUUGUUUGAUGAAGAAGAUUCCCGCAGCUACCACAUACGAUACCUGGUGAUAUUUAGUCUUGAUCUUCAACUUUCCAUAUUGGACAAAAAAAAGGGCAGCUACGCCACUUGCCCGUAAACAUCUGAACACAGGACGGUGGGGCUGUUUUUCCAAGGUUUGCAUUCGGUAUUCCGUGUUCUUCGUGAUGUUGUUUUUCAUCAAAUUGCAUACAUAUGUGCCUUCUCUCCCUUUUUAUUUUAAUAUUAGCCUUAGCUAUUAAGAUAUAGUCGGGUGCAAGAACGUGACAACAGUUUUUGCCUUCUCUCCUCACCACCUUCUACAUGUUGGUAUCAGAUCAAACUAUUGUUAACCAAUCGCUAGUUAAUUAACGGUUUCGCCUAAGGUUUGUAUAAUUAAUCACAGUUUUUUCCUACUUACUUUUGUCAUCACCAUUCAUUGCUUGAGUUUCGAGUCGUAAUGUAAUUUUAUGGCUGACACUUUUGAAGGGAUAGCGAAGAGAGGUAUCUUAUGUUUCUCUUUCACUCCGAAGUGCUUUGGAAAUAGAAAACGUACACUAA